rnacentral:rRNA from 1 species
UCCAGACUCCUACGGGAGGCAGCAGUGAGGAAUAUUGGUCAAUGGGCGGGAGCCUGAACCAGCCAAGCCGCGUGAGGGAAGAAGGUACAGCGUAUCGUAAACCUCUUUUGUCAGGGAACAAAGGCGGGGACUAGUCCCCGGAUGAGGGUACCUGAAGAAAAAGCAUCGGCUAACUCCGUGCCAGCAGCCGCGGUAAUACGGAGGAUGCGAGCGUUAUCCGGAUUUACUGGGUGUAAAGGGCGUGUAGCCGGGUUGACAAGUCAGAUGUGAAAUCCUGCGGCUUAACCGCAGAACUGCAUUUGAAACUGUUGAUCUUGAGUACUGGAGAGGCAGACGGAAUUCCUAGUGUAGCGGUGAAAUGCGUAGAUAUUAGGAGGAACACCAGUGGCGAAGGCGGUCUGCUGGACAGCAACUGACGGUGAGGCGCGAAAGCGUGGGGAGCAAACAGGAUUAGAUACCCUAGUA